CUCUGGGACAAACCCAGGCUCCUCUGCUUGGUGUGCAGGCCAGGGCAGGAGAGAGGGGAUGGAAAGUGAGGGGAAAAUAGGAUCUGGAGGAGCAUGUGAAGCAAUUCUCCUCCAUUGAAAUGGAGGAGCAGGUCACCUGAGCCGAGGGCUGUACUGCACAUUAGGUCCUGAAUGAGACAGGGGGAGCAGCAGAUAAGAAGCUGGGCUCAGAUGUCAGCUUUUAGACUUUGGCUGCAGCACCUAACUUAUGGUGGUUGCAUGGGCUGCAAGACACGCCAAGAACAGACCACUGGCCUGGCAACACAUCUUCGCUGGGAUAUGAGCAGCAGCUGCGAGCAUCCCGCUGUGGUACAAGUGAUGGCUUUCAAAAAAGGAGCAACUGAUCUCUAAAGUCACAUUAAAUGAUCCAGGAGACUCAGACUUUGUUAGGAGAAAACAAAGAGACUCAGAAAGGGGACCUGAACAUGUAUAGCCUGGUAAACAGCACCAACUGGGGAAGAUGGAGCUUCUACACAAGAUAAAAAAGGUGUUACACAAAGAAGGAAAAAGACUUGUGACACAUUUCCUGAUCAGAGAAAAGCAACCCAACUUCAGCAAGAUUCAGGAAGGGACUGGACAUCAGCAUGCAAGAACAGUCAGUGCUGUUACACUUCAGUUGUGGGGAAAGAAUAAGCAUCCUGCCUCACAACUUAAGACCUAAGUACUAAAACUCAGUGCACAGAAACCAUCCCACAUCUACCUGCUGCCCUAC